rnacentral:rRNA from 1 species
CACGUAGGGCGCAAGCGUUGUCCGGAAUUAUUGGGCGUAAAGAGCUCGUAGGCGGUCUGUCGCGUCCGAUUGUGAAAACUCGAGGCAUCAACCUCGGGCUUGCAGUGGAUACGGGCAGACUAGAGUGCGGUAGGGGAGACUGGAAUUCCUGGUGUAGCGGUGGAAUGCGCAGAUAUCAGGAGGAACACCGAUGGCGAAGGCAGGUCUCUGGGCCGCAACUGACGCUGAGGAGCGAAAGCAUGGGGAGCGAACAGG